UGGCAUCUUCUACUAAUAGAAGGCAGUUUUAUCUACUCUGAAAAUCUGCUGUUGAGUGUUGCCACCUUUAUCAAUGAUCUUAGUUAGAUCUCCUGGAUAAUGUACUGCAGCUUCUCAAUCAGCACUUACUGCUUUACCUUGCACUUUUAUGUUAUGGAGAGACAGGUUCCUCCCUUAAA